rnacentral:rRNA from 1 species
AGCGAACGCUGGCGGCAGGCCUAACACAUGCAAGUCGAACGGACCCUUCGGGGUUAGUGGCGGACGGGUGAGUAACACGUGGGAACGUGCCUUUAGGUUCGGAAUAGCUCCUGGAAACGGGUGGUAAUGCCGAAUGUGCCCUUCGGGGGAAAGAUUUAUCGCCUUUAGAGCGGCCCGCGUCUGAUUAGCUAGUUGGUGAGGUAAUGGCUCACCAAGGCGCCGAUCAGUAGCUGGUCUGAGAGGAUGACCAGCCACAUUGGGACUGAGACACGGCCCAAACUCCUACGGGAGGGAGCAGUGGGGAAUCUUGCGCAAUGGGCGAAAGCCUGACGCAGCCAUGCCGCGUGGAUGAUGAAGGUCUUAGGAUUGUAAAAUCCUUUCACCGGUGAAGAUAAUGACUGUAGCCGGAGAAGAAGCCCCGGCUAACUUCGUGCCAGCCGCCGCGGUAAUAC